rnacentral:rRNA from 1 species
UCCAGACUCCUACGGGAGGCAGCAGUGAGGAAUAUUGGUCAAUGGGCGGAAGCCUGAACCAGCCAAGUCGCGUGAGGGACUAAGGCCCUGCGGGUCGUAAACCUCUUUUGCCGGGGAGCAGUGGUCCGGACGCGUCCGGACCGGGAGAGUACCCGGAGAAAAAGCAUCGGCUAACUCCGCGCCAGCAGCCGCGGUAAUACGGAGGAUGCGAGCGUUAUCCGGAUUUAUUGGGUUUAAAGGGUGCGUAGGCGGAGUGUCAAGUCAGCGGUAAAAUUUCGGGGCUCAACCCCGUCGUGCCGUUGAAACUGACACCCUUGAGUGAGUGAGAAGUAAGCGGAGUGCGUGGUGUAGCGGUGAAAUGCAUAGAUAUCACGCAGAACGCCGAUUGCGAAGGCAGCUUACCGGCGCUCAACUGACGCUGAGGCACGAAAGUGCGGGUAUCGAACAGGAUUAGAUACCCGCGUAU